GAGCAGCAUACCAAAAAGACCACAAAUCACUCGCGCGAGCACGUCUAUCUCAAUUCUCAACGCGUCCCCAUCCCCCUUUUCCCUCCGGUACAGCCUCCAAAAUCGCCGCCUCCGACCGCCGAAAUUUGGCCGCUCCGCCGCCAAUUAACGCCGGGAACCAACCUUCCCGUCCACCGCCUGCGCGUGUGUCGGGUCGGCGGAGCUGCAAGUGGCUUGACGGUCGUGUGGUCCACGCUAUCCGGUGACGGUGCCGCCCUGCCGUGAUGGUUCUCGCGUGUGGCCGCCGGUGCCGCCAAGGAUCGUCGGGCGAGAUCCAUUAGGACACGGCGUUCAGCGUGCCGACCACUCCUCCUCUUCUCCGGCGAGGAGACUGGCCUGGGCGCCUGGUUGCCGCGCAAGUCGUGGUCACCGCCUCCUUCCUGGAUCUAGUGGCUGCAAUUAGCGGUACUGUCCACGGCCAUCGCGGUCGCGGCACCCAGCGACCAAGCACCGAAGCACGCUUGGCAACACCCGCGUAUCUUCGUCGCCGUCGAGCGGCAUCCAGGAUCUGCGGAACUCCCAGGAGACAGAGAGCCAGAAGAGGACAGAAAGAUAGAAGAGAAAGAAAUCUCUGCCGGUCCCACUCCUGACCGGUUGCUUUUCUACUCUCCUUUUCUCCUGUCUCCCGGUGCUCACACUAGUAUACAAGAAGAAAACAAACUCUAGAGACCUUCAGAGAACAUACAAUGUCCAACUUUGCGCUUGGGUUGACCAAGACGGCAGUGGAGGGGACAUUGAGCAGGGUCCAGUUAGCGAUCGAUGAAGAGAACAAGCUGAGGGAGACGGCAAAGCAAGACCUGCGGUAUAUCACAGCUGAAUUUCAGAUGAUGCAAUCCUUUCUAAAGGUUGCUAACAAGGAGCGUGCUAGUAAUGAAGUGGUGAAGACCUGGGUGAAGCAGCUCCGAGACCUUGCUUUUGAUGUCGAAGACUGCGUUGAGUUUGUUGUUAACUGUGCUGUCUAUUGUCUUGUAGUUUUGUUACUUGUGCUGAUGCUUUCCACUCAAACCAAUAUACUGUUGUGUCAUGACACAGAAACGGUAUUGAAACAGAUCGACAUAAAAUGUAUCAUGAAGAUACGAGUAUAGAAACCUUUCGUGUU